rnacentral:rRNA from 1 species
UACGGAGGGGGCUAGCGUUGCUCGGAAUCACUGGGCGUAAAGGGCGCGUAGGCGGAUCUUUAAGUCGGGGGUGAAAGCCCAGGGCUCAACCCUGGAAUUGCCUUCGAUACUGAAGAUCUCGAGACCGGAAGAGGUAAGUGGAACUGCGAGUGUAGAGGUGAAAUUCGUAGAUAUUCGCAAGAACACCAGUGGCGAAGGCGGCUUACUGGUCCGGUUCUGACGCUGAGGCGCGAAAGCGUGGGGAGCAAACAGG